rnacentral:ncRNA from 1 species
UUAAAGGCUAUGAGUAAGGAAUAGUACUCGACACUGUAAUCUUUUCAGAGAGACUGUGGAUGCUGGGAACAGUCAGGAUCAGUGGGAGGAAAUGGGCCUUAGGAGCUUCUAUCGACGCACGAUCGGCGUUAACGAUCUUAAAGUUGACUUUUACGUUUAAAAGUAAUCAGGGUGGCACCGCGGAUCAUUCGUCCCUUCC